UACGUAGGAGGCAAGCGUUGUCCGGAAUUACUGGGCGUAAAGCGCGUGUAGGUGGUGGGACAAGUCUGCUGUGAAAGCGCCUGGCUUAACCGGGCGAGGUCGGCGGAAACUGUCCGACUCGAGGACGGUAGAGGGGGGUGGAAUUCCCGGUGUAGUGGUGAAAUGCGCAGAUAUCAGGAGGAACACCAGUGGCGAAGGCGGUGCUCUGGGCCGGAACUGACGCUGAGGAGCGAAAGCGUGGGGAGCAAACAGG
rnacentral:rRNA from 1 species